rnacentral:rRNA from 1 species
CCUACGGGAGGCAGCAGUGAGGAAUAUUGGUCAAUGGGCGAAAGCCUGAACCAGCCAAGUAGCGUGCAGGAUGAAUGCCCUACGGGUCGUAAACCGCUUUUGCACGGGGAUAACACGCUCCACGUGUGGAAGUCUGCAGGUACCGUACGAAUAAGGGCCGGCUAACUCCGUGCCAGCAGCCGCGGUAAUACGGAGGGCCCGAGCGUUAUCCGGAUUCAUUGGGUCUAAAGGGAGCGUAGGCGGAUCGUUAAGUCAGUUGUUAAAAUUUGCGGCUCAACCGUAACACUGCAGUUGAAACUGGCAGCCUUGAGUUCAGUACAGGCAGGCGGAAUUCGUGGUGUAGCGGUGAAAUGCAUAGAUAUCACGAGGAACCCCGAUUGCGAAGGCAGCUUGCUGGGCUGCGACUGACGCUGAGGCUCGAAGGUGCGGGUAUCAAACAGGAUUAGAUACCCCUGUAGUC